rnacentral:rRNA from 1 species
UACGUAGGUGGCAAGCGUUGUCCGGAUUUACUGGGCGUAAAGAGCGCGCAGGCGGUCGUUCAAGUCGCGUGUGAAAUCCCUCAGCUCAACUGGGGACGUGCAUUCGAAACUGCAAGGCUCGAGUAUGGAAGAGGGUCGCAGAAUUCCCGGUGUAGAGGUGAAAUUCGUAGAUAUCGGGAGGAAUACCAGUGGCGAAGGCGGCGACCUGGGCCAAUACUGACGCUGAGGUGCGAAAGCGUGGGAGCAAACAGG